rnacentral:siRNA from 1 species
UUCUUUCAUACUACAAGCUAU